GAUGAACGCUGGCGGCGUGCCUAAUACAUGCAAGUCGAGCGAACGGACGAGAAGCUUGCUUCUCUGAUGUUAGCGGCGGACGGGUGAGUAACACGUGGAUAACCUACCUAUAAGACUGGGAUAACUUCGGGAAACCGGAGCUAAUACCGGAUAAUAUUUUGAACCGCAUGGUUCAAAAGUGAAAGACGGUCUUGCUGUCACUUAUAGAUGGAUCCGCGCUGCAUUAGCUAGUUGGUAAGGUAACGGCUUACCAAGGCAACGAUGCAUAGCCGACGUGAGAGGGGGAUCGGCGACACUGGAACUGAGACACGGUCCAGACUCCUACGGGAGGCAGCAGUAGGGAAUCUUCCGCAAUGGGCGAAAGCCUGACGGAGCAACGCCGCGUGAGUGAUGAAGGUCUUCGGAUCGUAAAACUCUGUUAUUAGGGAAGAACAUAUGUGUAAGUAACUGUGCACAGCUUGACGGUACCUAAUCAGAAAGCCACGGCUAACUACGUG
rnacentral:rRNA from 1 species